rnacentral:lncRNA from 1 species
UCAUUAACAUGAUCUAAAUCGAUCAACAAAUAUCUUUAGGGUCAUAGGCUAAUCAUAGUCACGAUUUCACCAAUGACUGGUAAACUAUAAUAUCCAUAAUUUCACCCGUGAUGGCAAAUCAAAAUAUCUGUGAUUUCGUCCAUGGUGGCAAACAAUACUAGUGUGAUUUCGCCCAUAAUGGCAAAUCAUACUAGCCAUGCUUCCAUCUAUGAUGGAAAACCAUACUAGUUGUGCUCCUG